rnacentral:rRNA from 1 species
GAUGAACGCUGGCGGCGUGCCUAAUACAUGCAAGUCGAGCGAAAAGACGAGGAGCUUGCUCCUCUGACGUUAGCGGCGGACGGGUGAGUAACACGUGGAUAACCUACCUAUAAGACUGGGAUAACUUCGGGAAACCGGAGCUAAUACCGGAUAAUAUAUUGAACCGCAUGGUUCAAUAGUGAAAGACGGUUUUGCUGUCACUUUUAGAUGGAUCCGCGCCGCAUUAGCUAGUUGGUAAGGUAACGGCUUACCAAGGCAACGAUGCGUAGCCGACCUGAGAGGGUGAUCGGCCACACUGGAACUGAGACACGGUCCAGACUCCUACGGGAGGCAGCAGUAGGGAAUCUUCCGCAAUGGGCGAAAGCCUGACGGAGCAACGCCGCGUGAGUGAUGAAGGUCUUCGGAUCGUAAAACUCUGUUAUUAGGGAAGAACAAAUGUGUAAGUAACUAUGCCCGUCUUGACGGUACCUAAUCAGAAAGCCACGGCUAACUACGUG